UAAAACAUGGCAACCCAUUCUCACUCCAAAGGCGUCAAAAACCAAAGCAUGGUCAAGCGCCCCUAGCGUCACUUUUAUGACGCCAAAUGUGCCUCUCGGCGUCGAAUAUCGACGCACUACGACCUUCAUUGCUUUCAGUGGGAAACUUUUGGCGUCAGAAUUUCGACGCAAGGACAUGAGAUGUUUAUCGCUAUGAAAUCACGUUCAAGAAGUCUCAUUCAGCACACAUCGCGAUACUUGCUAUCAGUUCCACAGUUUGGCUGAAAAGACGUAAAAGAAGCAGUCAGUCCAGUGGUGUUUCUGGAGAGGUAUUCCUUCAGAAAUGGAGACGACAGAAAGCUGCGGAGGCAGACAUUUGCAGCAGAUUGUUUGCAGAUAAUGCUGUUCUUCUUUUUCAGGUCUACAAUAUCGAGCUCAACAGCUCUUUUAAGAGCCAACCCUCACAAACCUUCCUAAAAACGAAAAGAGCUAUUACUGAGUCUCAGCGAAUCUUGCCAUGAUCAGCUCU